GAAAUUCUUUAGCAGGCUGCCUUUAGACUUUAUCUGCAACAUUGGCUCUUCUUGGCUUGCCAGUGGACUGACUUUGGAACUAAAUUGCAACUGUUUCCCGAGUAUCCAAUGUGUUGAUCUCCUCCAUCGGAUUUUGGACUCACCGAGCCUCCACAAUCAUGUCAAAAAGCUAAUAUGUUUGAGAACCAUCUAUUUAAAGAACAGCAAGUUUGGACCAACAAUAAAGACCAACGGUGAAAGCAGGCAGCCCCAGAAUAACUAGAAAAUGCCAAAAGGAGGACCUUUUACUCACAAAUAUCAAACCAUUUGACAGACACUUUCAACACUAGAUUUGCGUUUUUUAAAUAACUUUUUUUAGGCCUUAAGACUUAUCCAUAACAACUCAAGGAUUUCCUACAGAAGGACAUAACCAGGGCUGUCAUUCAACCACGACUCACAGGCUAGUGACAUCAGCUGGCAAUACAUCUUUCAGCUUUGCUGGGGACAUUAUAAUUGCCAGAAGUUCAUGAAAUAGCAGUUGUUAAAUAUUUUGAAUAUCUCUCCUAAGCCUAUAAAUCCUGGAGAAAUAGGUAUACCUUAUCAAAAAGAUAUUGUUAAUCCAAAGUGAUACAUGGUAUAAAAAAGUAUUCACAUUUGGCUUUGAAGUGUAUUUUUGUACUAACAUUUGAAUGUGUGUCUGAUGUUCUGAGAAAUUACUUCAAAGAGAUUAAUGAAGCCAUACAGUGAAGACCUGACUCAGGAAAGCUGGGAAAUUGUCCAGCUUUUUCUUCAUUCUGUUACCCUGCCGAACUCCUCUUUGACACCCACUCUCUGACACCAACAAGGAAUAGCUAAAAUAUCUUUUAGAAUAAUGUCAAUCCUUCCUUAUAGAAUGGAAGAUGGCAGUUUGAAUACUACAGACUUUUUUUGUUACAGCAGGCAAUGCAGAUUUUUAAAAUGCAUCUAUAAUCUAUCUUUGUUGAUUAUAUCUUUAUUAUGCACUUUCCUUUCAUCCUUUUGAAAGGAAAAGGAUGGUUUUAUUUAGAGAUCCUAGUGCUUUCAGGAAAACUGGGUUCCAUCUCAGCUUCAGGUGCGGAAAAUGUGACCUGGGCAUCCUCCAAGCUUCAAGUGUGAGAAAUGUGACCUUGACACAGUACAUCCCAUUUCCUUCAUCACAGUCAUUGGGUUCAGACCUUAAUAUUCAUCCUAAGCUUGUUUAAUAAGAGUGAAUCCCAGAAUUAUUGAAGGAUUGCAUCUAAGCUCUCUUUCUUUGGAUGAUGUCUUAUAUAGAUAUGAAGCUUAGGCCUGCUGCAGUCAUUUUAAUAUAGUUAUCGUGAAGAUAAACCAAUGUAAGAAGAUGCACAGAGAGAUACAGAGCUGGAUCUCUCAGGAUACUGUAAACCUCUCCAUGAAAUCAUGCCUGAGCCCUUCCCCGUCCAUUAACACAUGCACUUAACCAAAUAUUUUCUUCAUUUUUUAAGUCAAUUAAAGUUGAGUUCUCUGUUGUUUGCAAUUUAUGGCCUCCUAAUUGAAACAGUAAGUCAACAAACAGAUCAUUAAACUGAUUAGGAACUGUCAAUUAUGUGACGAUAUAAAUGCUGCCAAUUAAUAUGAAAGAAAAUUUCACCACAGAUAAUGACAAGUUGAUAGACACAUUUGCCUCUCUCUGUGUUGUGUCUUUCUCUGUCUCUCUCUCUCGGCAUGUAUACGCAGGCACACACACACAUAUCACCAAUCUAUGUUGCCUGCUAUAUUUUAAUUCAGCUGAGCUAUAUAUUUUCAAAAAUUAAAUGAUAAAAAAAUAAAAGUAAUCUCUAUGUUAUGAGCUAAAGUCUACUUGAUCCUGGAAGAGUAGCCUGUGAGAAGGCCAGUAUAUAUCAAAUAUCAGAAUGUUCGGCUCCAAAAGUUCCAGUAGCUUAAGCUUCUGUGCUUUAAUCAGAUGUAGACUGUAUGUUUUUGUACAAAGAAGUAAAUAAAUUUGACUAGAAGAAGGAUAACCAGAAAUGGUACUAGUAAUAAAUGAAAAU
rnacentral:lncRNA from 1 species